ACGAGUGCGGGUCUCCUCGCGAGCCCAACCUCCCAACCCUUUGUUUACCGAACCUUUGUUGCUUCGGCGGACCCGCUUCACGGCCGCCGGGGGACCUUCCGUCCCCUGGCCCGCGUCCGCCGGUGGCCCCAACAUUUAAUCCUGAAAAUCGUGUCUUCCAGACCUGAGUCGAGAUAUUAAAUCAAAAUAA
rnacentral:misc_RNA from 1 species